ACUCCUACGGGAGGCAGCAGUGGGGAAUAUUGGACAAUGGGCGCAAGCCUGAUCCAGCAAUGCCGCGUGAGUGAUGAAGGCCUUAGGGUUGUAAAGCUCUUUUACCAGGGGAUGAUAAUGACAGUACCUGGAGAAUAAGCUCCGGCUAACUCCGUGCCAGCAGCCGCGGUAAUACGGAGGGAGCUAGCGUUGUUCGGAAUUACUGGGCGUAAAGCGCGCGUAGGCGGUUACUCAAGUCAGAGGUGAAAGCCCGGGGCUCAACCCCGGAACUGCCUUUAGAACUAGGUGACUAGAAUCUUGGAGAGGUCAGUGGAAUUCCGAGUGUAGA
rnacentral:rRNA from 1 species